UACAGAGGGUGCAAGCGUUAUUCGGAGUUACUGGGCGUAAAGCGCGUGUAGGCGGUUCGUUAAGUCUGGUGUGAAAUCCCUGGGCUCAAACCAGGAAGUGCAUUGGAUACUGGCGGACUAGAGUGCAGGAGAGGUGAGCGGAAUUCCAGGUGUAGAGGUGGAAUUCGUAGAUAUCUGGAGGAACAACAGUGGCGAAGGCGGCUCACUGGACUGUAACUGACGCUAAGGCGCGAAAGCGUGGGGAGCAAACAGG
rnacentral:rRNA from 1 species